rnacentral:sRNA from 1 species
AAGUUUGGACAGUUUUGUACAGUAGGAAUUCUCAUCAAUUCAGGAUCGAGAUAUGAAGCGAAAUACCUUAGUGGAAUUGCUCACUUUUUGGAAAAAUUGGCAUUUUCGUCUACUGCUCGAUUUGACAGCAAAGAUGAAAUUCUGCUUACGUUGGAAAAGCAUGGGGGUAUUUGUGACUGCCAGACAUCAAGAGACACCACCAUGUAUGCUGUGUCUGCUGAUAGCAAAGGCUUGGACACGGUGGUUGGCUUACUGGCUGAUGUGGUUCUGCAGCCCCGGCUAACAGAUGAAGAAGUCGAGAUGACACGGAUGACGGUCCAGUUUGAGCUGGAGGACCUGAACCUGCGGCCUGACCCAGAGCCACUUCUCACCGAGAUGAUUCAUGAAAAAACAUAGCAAAGAUCAACCGAGAGGUGCUACAUUCCUACCUGAGGAACUACUACACUCCCGACCGCAUGGUGCUGGCCGGCGUGGGCGUGGAGCACGAGCAUCUGGUGGACUGUGCCCGGAAGUACCUCCUGGGGAUCCAGCCGGCCUGGGGGAGCGCAGAGGCCGUGGAUAUUGACAGAUCUGUGGCCCAGUA